CAGCCGCCGCGGUAAUACGUAGGGUGCAAGCGUUAAUCGGAAUCACUGGGCGUAAAGCGUGCGCAGGCGGUUUGUUAAGACAGAUGUGAAAUCCCCGGGCUCAACCUGGGAACUGCAUUUGUGACUGGCAAGCUAGAGUAUGGCAGAGGGGGGUGGAAUUCCGCGUGUAGCAGUGAAAUGCGUAGAUAUGCGGAGGAACACCGAUGGCGAAGGCAGCCCCCUGGGCCAAUACUGACGCUCAUGCACGAAAGCGUGGGGAGCAAACAGGAUUAGAGACCCCAGUAGUCCCUGUCUCUUAUAC
rnacentral:rRNA from 1 species